CUGGUCACUAGAGGUAACACACUGGCCGGUAGCCGCAAGGAUACACUGGUCACUAAAGGUAACACACUGGUCACUAGAGGUAACACACUGGUCACUAGAGGUAACACACUGGUCACUAGAUUGUAACACACUGGUCACUAGAUUGUAACACACUGGUCACUAGAUUGUAACACACUGGUCACUAGAUUGGAACACACGUAUUCCCAUCCAUACCAAUCGUAUACCCUUCCACACACACUGUACUGUACCGACACACCAGGGUUCUCCCCAAAGAAUGCGAGAGGCACUGCUCCACCUUUGUGGACUGGCUGCUCCACUAUGUAAUAAAACAAAUAAAAAAUUAACUAC